CUGCAGUUAGGAUAUAGCGGGUUGGAUAAUGGAUGGAUGGAUUAUUCCACAUGAUUUAUCGAACUAGGAGCACAUCUGAAUAUCAGGGACACUGAUGGAGACUUAAAACAGUUUUCAUUCACACAGAGAGCAACAGACAUAAGGAAAAGUGACCAAGCAGUGAGGUAGAGAGGAGGAGGACUAUUGGGACCUUCAGAACUCAACCUGAUGAAAAGUUUGUUAAAAAUCAGAACCAGCACAGAUGUGACAACGCCAUGGCUUUACUACAGGAGGGUUUGAAUUCUUAUAUGUUUAGUCUCAGUGUGAAGUGUGCACCAGUGAAUCAAUGCCCAUGUGGUAUUUUUCUUUUUCCUUCCAUCUUCCCAAAGACAUGGAUGUUACAUUGAAACAUGUUGCACAUGAUGCCUUUUUUUUCUGGCGUUCCUUGACAUUCACCGAUCUUCUAUCCUAUCAUGGGCUGAAGUUUCAAAGUUGUGUUAAACAUGAUCAACGCAAAAUACAGCAAGGGUCUGUACUUUGGGUGUCAUUAAGUGCCCCUGUGACUCUAAAUUUACAUCAAACCAAUGCUACAACAGAUUUAAAAUGAACAGUUCGUCAGCACACAACCAGAUCCCAGCAGUUUCCGAGGCAGAGGUGUGUGUUCAGCCAGCACCCGAAGACAUACUCAGCAGAGCAGCAUCAUCACCGGCUGACCAUCA